GACGAACGCUGGCGGCGUGCCUAAUAAAUGCAAGUCGAACGCAGUGGGGACGGGUGAGUAACACGUGGGUAACCUCCCAUCAGAGGGGAUAACACUUGGAAACAGGUGCUAAACAGAUAUUGAUGGAUGGACCCGCGGUGCAUUAGCUAGUUGGUGAGGUAACGGCUCACCAAGGCCACGAUGCAUAGUCGACCUGAGAGGGUGAUCUGCCUGACGUGGACUGUGACACGGCCCAGACUCCGACGGGAGGCAGCAGUAGGGUAUCGUCGGCAAUGGACGAAAUUCUGACCGAGCAACGCCGCGUGAGUGAAGAAGGUUUUCGGAUCGUAAAACUCUGCUGUUAGAGAAGCGGUAUCUAACCAGAAAGCCACGGCUAACUACGUGCCAGCAGCCGCGGUAAUAC
rnacentral:rRNA from 1 species